rnacentral:rRNA from 1 species
CCUACGGGAGGCAGCAGUGGGGAAUAUUGCACAAUGGGGGAAACCCUGAUGCAGCGACGCCGCGUGAGUGAAGAAGUAUUUCGGUACGUAAAGCUCUAUCAGCAGGGAAGAAAAUGACGGUGCCUGACUAAGAAGCCCCGGCUAACUACGUGCCAGCAGCCGCGGUAAUACGUAGGGGGCAAGCGUUAUCCGGAUUUACUGGGUGUAAAGGGAGCGUAGACGGCAGCGCAAGUCUGGAGUGAAAUCCCAUGGCUUAACCAUGGAACUGCUUUGGAAACUGUGCAGCUAGAGUGCAGGAGAGGUAAGCGGAAUUCCUAGUGUAGCGGUGAAAUGCGUAGAUAUUAGGAGGAACACCAGUGGCGAAGGCGGCUUACUGGACUGUAACUGACGUUGAGGCUCGAAAGCGUGGGGAGCAAACAGGAUUAGAUACCCCAGUAGUC